GACACAGCGACUGAACUCGAGGAUCCUUCACACUUGGGUAUAAGGAAUAAGUAGUUUGCGACGACAUAUUUUAGUACAGGGAAAUGCACAGUGAUUACAAAACGCACAGACAGCGUGCUGUCAAAAUUCACGUUAUCAUAGCUAAGAAGAAACUCGUCGUAGAGGGCGCGAGCUAACAAAUUUCUUAUCAUAAACAAUUGGUACCUAGCACAGGCAAACCGGCGGGAACAACUUGUUAAACUCCUGACGCUCUAACUUAGAACUAGCGUUAGUAUUCAACGUUGAACGAAGUAUUGCGUAAAGGACUUAGUAAAUUGAUCGAAUAAACUCGUAUAAAGUUGUAGGUGUUAAAUUCAUAUAAAUGCGCCUUCUGACAUACAUUAUUAUCGUUUACUGAGCGGUACGUUGUAAUUGAAGUACCUUUUCAUUUCCUCGAGAACGUUUGUAUCGUCUAAAAUUGAUAGUAUAGAUAGAGAGCAAUAAUAUUUAUCAGUUUUGUAUAUGGAUAUGUGAAAACUUUAAAUUUUUAGUGUUCAGAACAUGUUUUUUAUAAUUAAUAAUUUCUUAGUAAGUAUGUAUAAACUCAUGAUUAGAGAUCGUAUUAAAAAUCAUUUUAUAUCGCAAUGUUUAGUAGCGGUGCCAAGGUGCCAUUUUGUGACGUACUUUAUACUAAAGUCAAGCGUAUACCUACUUGUGAAUAUUAACCAAGUUCAGUAGACCACACGCGGCGUGUCGCUGCGGCCACUCCUAUACCGACCAUAACAUUGUCAUUAACAUAAGUUUAUGUAUUACUACACAAUCAUUUAAUUAUAAUUCUCUCAUGUUAAGCGACUUCGUAAUCACAGUACUUUAUGCAAUAUUAUAAUAGAGAGCUACAAGAGUUGUAAAUGGUGGUUAACUUUGAGACCAUUCCAUUAUAGUUACAAUUGGAAGCCAAAUGACGACUUAUUUUUCUAAAAAGUUUUGUUAGAUUUGCAAAUAAAACGUUAAAAUAAAAUGUAGGCGUUAAUCGAUAUUGUAUUAAUAAGAAGACAUUCAGAUUUCCAAAGAUCUAAGGCUCAAGUAAAUUCUUUUAACUAGCUUAUGUAUUGCCAUUAUAAUUAUGUAUAUAUGUUAUUACUUAUUGCGAUAUAUCGUGCGACUGUUGUCAAGUGACUGUUGGGGAAGUGAGUAUAUAUUAAGCUGUUAUAUCGAAGAUACAUCGCGUGCAGUUCACGGGGUUGUUGAUAUGAAAAUUAAGAUCAAGUCGUCUAUGUGCAUAGUUUAGUUAGGAUAUACAAACGAAGGUAACGGUACAGCGAUGUCACUUCAAUUUAGCCGCUUCAAUAGAAACCUUUGCGUUCGAGUACCAAUCACGAUCAUAGUUGAUAAUUAGAACUUUUACUUUGAGUAAAAAUAGAUACUUAUUACUUACUUACCAAAAUAUUGUGAUACAACUUUUUUAUCUGUAGUAUUCGCUCGGUUUAUUAAAACACUUUCUUUUCUUGGUGUUAUAGAGAGAAUGUCAAAGCGAAUAUGGUAAAUAUACUAAAUUGUGUAUAAAGUACAUAUGAAAAAGUUUUAAAUAUUUAUUUAGAUACGUUACCUAGAAUGUUCACGACUAUCCUGACUCCAGAUAUACAGUAUCCGAUUAGUGUAAGCACAUUUGUUCAAGUACAUCCUGGGCACUUGCCAAAUUAAUUUUCUAGGUUAUUGUUACAGUUUUACGACAUUCUCUUACAUGUUAACCUCGAAGGUGCUAUAUGUUAGCAAUAUGUCAUGGAUGCACCAAACAAUUGUCAUGGCUAACGAUAGUAUUCCAUAAUGAGAUUUAUGUGUAUACAUUUACAUUUGACAAGGCGUUCUCGGCAACUGUGUUGUAGCUAGAGAAUUUAUUUUUAUACUUAGUAUACAGGGGUGUUUAUGAAAAGCAAAACGUAUAGUUUGCAUUUUUGAUGUCAUACCUUAUUCAAGUCUUUUAUGCACGUGUUUAUUCUUUUUUAUAAUGGAAAUAUAAAUUUGUGGUAAACGUAAGAAUAUGUUAAUCUUGUUACAUGAAUUAUGAUACAAUUGUAUUAUCAGCAACAAGUCUUUUUGAAUACAGAUUGCAAAGUACCAAUGAGAACAUGUCUGUAUAUAAUUUUAAUUAUGAUGUAAAUUACGGAAUCUCUUUUUUCCAACGGUAUCGCGCGUCUCUUUUGUGCUACUACGAUAUAUAAAUUGCUACCAUCAGUAAUCUGUUUACUGUUGCUUUUAUUUGAAUAUUGUGUAAAUUAUUAAUGACAUGUUGUAAUAAGUAUAUUUUAUAAUAGCCAUAAUUACUUGUUUUAUAUAAGGUAAGUCUGUAAAUACCAUGAUUAUACAUUAAGUUUUAUACUC